rnacentral:lncRNA from 1 species
AUAUUUUCAAAAAAUAUUUUAAAUUGUGUGACAAUCGGUUUUGUUUUACCCGUCUUUGUAAAAAUCAUGCAGAGGGUGAUUCAUGACAUGUCAUAGAAGUAUUUGUUUUGCUCAAUAUAACUUUGGUUGAUAGGUAAAAUUAUGUCUUUAUUUUCCCUAUAUAAUGCUCGUUGCAAUAGUGACCGUCAAAACAACAUUUUGCCUGAAUAUAGAUGAAAAAGACGCUUUUGAAAAUUGAAAAUAAAGGGAAUUUAAAGUCCGAUAAAAAACCAAAAAAAAACCAAUAAGAUUGUUUACUACAUUAUGAACAAACAAACCCCAAACUAUUCAAAAACGUUAAAAUUAUGAAUUUACUAAAUAGUUUGUUUUCACAGCAAC